CAUGAUUGCAACGACGGUGUAUGAGAGGCCGCAGUCGCCAAGCUUCGCUUUCUUCAUAAAAGUAUCGAGACCGGUAACGUUGAAUUCACCAUUCCCGUCGAUUAGCUGAGUCGCACAACGGCACAGCCACACAAGCCUCUUUGGAAGAUUUCCUUUGAGAGAAGACUUGAAGACUUGGCUUAUGCCUGGCCGCGACAGCUAGUUGGUGAUUUUCUAUUGGCACUUUCUUGGGUUUUUUUCUUGUUUACUCAUGGCACAACUAUCUUCUUUUCCCAUAACUAAGAUUCUAAUACUGAUUAUGUUAUGUGUAUACAGUAUAUUGCCCCUCUGCUCUGCUCGACUGCUCUGAAUUCCGAUUUAUUGGGUCCUGGAGGCUGGAGGUAAAAUUAUAUUCCCUUUAUAUGUGAUCAGAUUUAUCAUUUAUGGGUUUUUGUUUCCUUUUUGUUUUGGGGUUAAUAUAUAUGAUUAAUGAUAUAAUGAUACUCUGGUAAAGUUUCUGUCUUUGGGUUUAGAGAAAUAAUAUUUUUGAUUGAUAGAUUGAUUCGUCUUGUUUAAACAACUCUACGUGUUUUUACAGUCACGAUAGAAAGAGCAUUUUCAGCUAUAAAAUAUGUUAAAAUUGCUCUUCGCAAUAAAAUGAAAGAGGAGUUUUUAGCAGAUUCUAUAAUGAUUUACAUUGAACGAGAACUUCUUGAAGAUAUCGAUUCAGAUUCCAUAAUAGACGAAUUCUAUUCUACAAAGCAUAGAAGGAUGCAACUUAAAUAGUGUGUUUUAUUUUCUUUUUUUCUUGUAUGUUAUGUACCUUUGAACCUUACUACUAUGUAUGAUUUUGAAUUUGUGAUUGAUCUUGGUGAGACAAUUUUUUGGUAGCCCAGUAAAAAAUUAAUUUCUAACUCCACCCUUGUUUAUGUUACCUUUGUUAUGUGAUAG
rnacentral:lncRNA from 1 species